GAAAUGGGUUUAACGACACUUGAUCCAGCGAUCUGGACUUCGCCUUCUUGUUCGUAAUGUUAAGGUUCGUUUUUUCGCGUCUGGAGUAACGGAUGUGUCAAAAAUUAGAAAUAUUGGUAUCUCUGCCCAUAUUGACUCUGGAAAAACCACACUGACAGAAAUACUGUUGUUUUACUCUGGAAGAAUCAGUCAAAUGCGCG